UACGUAUGGUGCAAGCGUUGUUCGGAAUCAUUGGGCGUAAAGGGUAUGUAGGCGGAUUUGUAAGUCAGAUGUGAAAACUAUGGGCUCAACCCAUAGCCUGCAUUUGAUACUGUAGAUCUGGAGUUUGGGAGAGGGAAGCGGAAUUCCUGGUGUAGCGGUGAAAUGCGUAGAUAUCAGGAGGAACACCGGUGGCGAAAGCGGCUUCCUGGCCUAAAACUGACGCUGAGAUACGAAAGUGUGGGGAGUGAACGGG
rnacentral:rRNA from 1 species